rnacentral:lncRNA from 1 species
GAAUAAUUUAGACAUUGUCCUCGCUUUGUUUACAACGCCAAAUCACAGAUUUUCACGUCUUGAUACAACGGCUGCAUUUCAAGCCGCAACAAGUGCAACUUCAAACUGGCUUCAGCAGAACUCUUCCCAAACAUAAAACCCAUUAAAUUCAUACGAUUGUAUUAAAUUCAUACGAUUGCUAAUAUACCACGAAUUGUCUUUAGGCCACUAUUUGCUGUAUAUUAGUUUCUCAUCCCCACCCGCAUGCCUUUUUUAAGAAAAUGGCCUUGUUCGCCAUUAUUAUUGCCAUUUUUGACCAUUAUUAUAAAUUUUGUGAUGUCUUCAAAGUGAAAUUUGAAAGAAAGACAAUUAGAAACGUUCCCAAACCAAAUGUUAUAGUUAAAAUACAAAAUUUCAUAACCAAACUGCA